rnacentral:rRNA from 1 species
UUUUAUGAGAGUUCGAUCCUGGCUCAGGAUGAACGCUGGCGGCGUGCCUAACACAUGCAAGUCGAACGAGAUGCGUAUCGGAAAGCUUCGGCCGGAAGAUACGUUAUCUAGUGGCGGACGGGUGAGUAACACGUGGGUAACCUGCCUUAUGGAGGGGGAUAACAGAGAGAAAUCACUGCUAAUACCGCA